rnacentral:rRNA from 1 species
CAGCAGCCACGGGAAUACGUAGGGUGCGAGCGUUGUCCGGAAUUAUUGGGCGUAAAGAGCUUGUAGGCGGUCUGUCGCGUCUGCUGUGAAAACCCGAGGCUCAACCUCGGGCCUGCAGUGGGUACGGGCAGACUAGAGUGCGGUAGGGGAGAACGGAACUCCUGGUGUAGCGGUGGAAUGCGCAGAUAUCAGGAAGAACACCGAUGGCGAAGGCAGUUCUCUGGGCCGUAACUGACGCUGAGAAGCGAAAGCGUGGGGAGCGAACAGGAUUAGAUACCCCCGUAGUCCCUGUCUCUUAUAA